rnacentral:tRNA from 1 species
GGUGGAUUAGCUCAGUGGGAAGAACUUAAGGCUUGUGACCAUAAGGUCCCGGGUUCGAAUCUCCCAGAGGCGGAA